rnacentral:rRNA from 1 species
GAUGAACGCUAGCGGCAGGCCUAACACAUGCAAGUCAGGGGUAACAGGGAGAAGCUUGCUUUUCCGCUGACGACCGGCGCACGGGUGCGUAACGCGUAUACAAUCUGCCUUAUACUGGGGUAUAGCCUUUAGAAAUGAAGAUUAAUCCCCCAUAGUCUCUUAGAGUGGCAUCAUUUUAGGAGUAAAGGUUACGGUAUAAGAUGAGUAUGCGUUCUAUUAGUUUGUUGGUGAGGUAACGGCUCACCAAGGCUACGAUAGAUAGGGGCCCUGAGAGGGGGAUCCCCCACACUGGUACUGAGACACGGACCAGACUCCUACGGGAGGCAGCAGUGAGGAAUAUUGGACAAUGGAGGCAACUCUGAUCCAGCCAUGCCGCGUGCAGGAAGACUGCCCUAUGGGUUGUAAACUGCUUUUAUAUAGGAAGAAACCUACUUACGUGUAAGUAGCUGACGGUACUAUAAGAAUAAGGAUCGGCUAACUCCGUG